rnacentral:lncRNA from 1 species
CUGCAAGGAACACCUAUAAACAUUCAAUAUGAUGAAACCCAGAUGGAAGUGUUAAUUUUCUUAAAGUUUAAAUACAUUGUUUAUUUUUGGUUUUCUUUAACUGUUACUAGGGUGUGGGGAACAACGGAGAGUAGGCAUCAUGAAGUGCAUACCCACAACUUGAGAAACUUCUUCUAAACUCAAACCUUGGUCACCAGCCUUCUGAACGGCCUUGAAAACAGUCCUAAAGACCUCCGGAGUAAAGAGGCUCAGUUGUUUUAAAUCAGAAGGUUUCAUCAUCAGAUAUUUUGCAUAACCUUCCAUUGCUUCCCAAGGUGACUUACUAGACCAUUGUGCUGCAGGAAUAACGCUGUUGAAAUUGGGGAUUUCUGGAAUCAUAUCACACUGAGAUGAACUAGAGCUUAUUUUUUUAUCCAAACCAUCAUUGAGUUUAUCAUUCCAAUGAAGCUCACCAAUACAAGUCCCCCCUUCCUUGAACAAUUCAACAGCAUUAACUGUCAUCAGUUUUGCACGAUGCAAAUGCACCAUUAUACCAGGAAAACCCUUUUCUUUGCGAGAAACGAGUUCACUAUCUGCCAAAGAUUUCAUUUUCUUAGACUUAUCACUGUCGCAAAGUUCAUCAUCCUCAGCCUUGCGUUUUAAGCUUCUCAAAUCUUCAGCUUCUCCCACACCUUCAUCUGGCAAAUAUGGAGAAAUGGACAAUUCACCAGAAGAAACUAGAGCAAACAACUGAAAAACAUCCCCACAAUGCAAAUCUGCAGCAAGACUAAUUCCCCCUUCCAUCAGAUCUUUUUCUCUUUCAAAGAGCCAACCAGAAAAUUUAGCAGCUUUCUUUCCAGUAUUUGAUGGAAACGAAGAUCGGGAAACGCUCUGCAAGAAUUGUUGUGAAAGAACAAAAGGUUGAUCACCAUCGCCCCCAAUCUGCAAAGUGGAGAAGGAAUGUGAAUGAAAAAGUUACUUAUUUCUAACAUAGAAUAAAAAUUAAAAUGGAUAUGAAGGUUGUUUGGAGGGGGAAGGAAUAAUCAUAAAUCAGCAAGGCAUAUGCACAGCAGGGAAAAGGAAAAAAAGACACUAAAAAACCAAAUUUCAGCAGAUUAGAGAACUUGAAAAUGAACUCUCUCCUAGAACGAAAUAAAGCUUCAUGACCAUUUCAACUGAAGAAACCAUAACAUUUAAGUAAAAUGACCUUGACUUAUGGUUUCAAAUAUAAAUCCAGAACAUCAGUUACAGAUCCACUUAGGCACUUUAGAAAUCAACAAGUACGCAAGAAAAAGUUUUCAACAGAAGACAAUCACUCUAAAGUGCAAAGCAUUUUCAACCAUGGUGAACUUACUUUCUGGCAUAUGACAAAAUAUGCAGCUUAACAUUGACUUGUGCUGAAAGUUUGGCAUGUCUAACUCUCUAGAAUGGAAAUUUUAAUUCCCAGACAAAAACAUGGAUAUGCAUUCAAUGGGUCAUCAAUGUGCAAAAACAUGAUACUUUCUCAGACAGGUAUCAAACAAUAAUACCAUCUACAACAUCAGGAUCAGAAUCAGACUAUCAGCAGGCAUUAAUAAUGGAUUUCUCUUUUCAAAUAAAAAAGCAAAAUUACUCAAAUUCAUAACUUAUUAAGCACACAACAUAUUAAAUAAAAGUGUUAAAGAAUAUGUAUUAGUUGAGAAGAAAUUGAGUACAAUAGUUUAACAGAUUAUUUGGUACAACCAACCAAGAUUUUAUAUAAUUGAUAGAAGCCUGAUACACAAAAGGUUGAUAUAAAUUAGUGACAAAUAAGGGUCACCAUAAAAAUGUCAAGUUGAAAUAAAUGAGCUUUGGAAUUGUUUUUAUGUUAAACAUGUAACGCUUAUCAUAGAAAUGGACUAAUGAAAAACCAAAUAAAAGUGGAAAAGCCACAAGAUACUUGAACUUUAAAAGAAAAUAUCAUUCAUUAGAUACUAGGAUACAAAUAAAAUGAAAAAAGAAAAAAGAGCAUCCAGCCGCUCAACUCCGCCUAGGUACACCUACUCUUCUCUCCCCAUUUCCCCUAAUUCUUUUGUUCAUUUCCUUUAUCCAAAAUAAAGGCAAACAUUAUUCCAGCCAUUAUACAGAAUCGUAAAAACCUGUGUACCAGUACAAUGCAAAUUCAAAUUCAAAAACCCAAACUGGUGAAUCCCAUAUCAGUAAACUAAAAAUCUGAUAUGUACAGUCUACUUUGGGCAUCUAAACGACUGUUUUGUAACUGACAACUUUGUAUUCUAGUGGACUAUAGAUAUUAAUAAAAAUUUUAAGAAAAUAAAAGAAAGAGAAAAGGAAGCAUUAUAGAGGAUGGACCAGGAAGAGACAUUGAAUGGUGGAACCAUAUAUGCUGUGUAUGACUCUGGUAGGUACACAUACUAUAGCAUUUUUGCAAUUGAAAGAAUAUAAUUUAGGGGUCAAGAAUAAAACUAACCUUCAACACAUAUCCAAAUGCUUGGAGCACAUCAAUGAUAUGUUCAUGCACAUUCUCUCCUGCAAGGAACACCUAUAAACAUUCAAUAUGAUGAAACCCAGAUGGAAGUGUUAAUUUUCUUAAAGUUUAAAUACAUUGUUUAUUUUUGGUUUUCUUUAACUGUUACUAGGGUGUGGGGAACAACGGAGAGUAGGCAUCAUGAAGUGCAUACCCACAACUUGAGAAACUUCUUCUAAACUCAAACCUUGGUCACCAGCCUUCUGAACGGCCUUGAAAACAGUCCUAAAGACCUCCGGAGUAAAGAGGCUCAGUUGUUUUAAAUCAGAAGGUUUCAUCAUCAGAUAUUUUGCAUAACCUUCCAUUGCUUCCCAAGGUGACUUACUAGACCAUUGUGCUGCAGGAAUAACGCUGUUGAAAUUGGGGAUUUCUGGAAUCAUAUCACACUGAGAUGAACUAGAGCUUAUUUUUUUAUCCAAACCAUCAUUGAGUUUAUCAUUCCAAUGAAGCUCACCAAUACAAGUC